GUGCUUGGUUCAGCAGCACAUAUACUAAAAUUGGAAUAACACAGAGAUUAGCAUGGCCCCUGCACAAGGAUGACGUGAAAAUUCGUGAAGCAUUCCAUGUUUAA